rnacentral:rRNA from 1 species
UACGUAGGGUGCAAGCGUUGUCCGGAAUUAUUGGGCGUAAAGAGCUCGUAGGCGGUUCGUCGCGUCGGCUGUGAAAACCUGAGGCUCAACCUCAGGCCUGCAGUCGAUACGGGCGGACUUGAGUACUGCAGGGGAGACUGGAAUCCUGGUGUAGCGGUGAAAUGCGCAGAUAUCAGGAGGAACACCGGUGGCGAAGGCGGGUCUCUGGGCGAGUAACUGA